rnacentral:pre_miRNA from 1 species
AUAAUACUCCCUCCGUCCGGAAUUACUUGUCAUCAAAAUGGAUGUGUCUAGAACUAAAAUUCAUCUAGAUACAUCCAUUUCAAUGACAAGUAUUUUCGGACGGAGGGAGUAGUAG